CCCUACGGGGCGCAGCAGGCGCGAAAACUUCGCACUGUGCGAAAGCACGACGAGGGAAUCCCAAGUGCUGGCUCGUUAGAGUCAGCUGUUUCUCUGUCUAAAAACAGAGAGAGUAAGGGCUGGGUAAGACGGGUGCCAGCCGCCGCGGUAAUACCUGCAGCCCAAGUGGUGACUGUUAUUAUUGGGCCUAAAACGUCCGUAGCCGGUUUAGUAAAUGCCUGGGUAAAUCGUACGGCUUAACCGUACGAAGUCCGGGUAGACUGCUGAACUUGAGACCGGGAGAGGCUAGAGGUACUCCUGGGGUAGAGGUGAAAUCCUGUAAUCC
rnacentral:rRNA from 1 species